GUAACAAGGUUUCCGUAGGUGAACCUGCGGAAGGAUCAUUAUCUAAACAGCGGACUUCGGUCCUUGCUGCACCCUUGUCUUUUGCGUACCGUAUGUUUCCUCGGCGGGCUUGCCUGCCGGUUGGACAUUAUCAAACCUUUUUGUAGUUGCAAUCAGCGUCAGAAAAUAAACAAUAAUUACAACUUUCAACAACGGAUCUCUUGGUUCUGGCAUCGAUGAAGAACGCAGCGAAAUGCGAAAAGUAGUGUGAAUUGCAGAAUUCAGUGAAUCAUCGAAUCUUUGAACGCACAUUGCGCCCCUUGGUAUUCCAUGGGGCAUGCCUGUUCGAGCGUCAUUUUGUACCCUCAAGCACUGCUUGGUGUUGGGCGUUUGUCCUGCAAAGGACUCGCCUGAAAGCGAUUGGCGGCCAACGUACUGGUGGUAGAGCGCAGCACAAUUUGCGUCUCUCCCUUCUACGUCGGCGUCCAUGAAGCCUUUUUUCAACGUUUGACCUCGGAUCAGGUAGGGAUACCCGCUGAACUUAAGCAUAUCAAUA
rnacentral:rRNA from 1 species